GGAAGCCUUCCAGGCAGAAGGAGCCACAGAGCUGCAGGCUCUCUGGAGGGAUGGAGCAGCACAUAUUGGGAGAACUGGAGAAGGCUGUGUCAGAGGAGAGCACAGGCAGACCAGGCCUUCUCUUCCUAUCUUUGCAAAAUUGGACUAAAGGAUUUCAAGCCUCAGCUUAACUACUGAAUCAUGAUUUUGCAAGUCGCCAAUUGGUGUCACGGGGGACAAAAACCCAACUCACACAGGUUUAUACAUAAAAGCGGGACUUCAUUGGCUGACAAAACUGAAAGGUGGAGAGGCCGUUUCCAGCGACCCAUGGGGAUGGUUCUGGAACCUCAAGGGAUGGCAUCAGCUUAUCUCUCAACUGGGGCAAAAGAUCCUGCUGGCAAAGCACCCCCUGAUGGGAACCAGACCUCCCCUUCAACCAGUAAGGAUUUCCCGCUGCCAGCAAGACCCCGCCCAUGACUGACCCCAAGACAAUGACACACCCGACCUGCACGCCCACCUGCACCGCCAGCAGAGCGCACACACGCAUCCCUGUCCCUCAUUUUCCUCAUGUAAAUCUGGAAGUAUUUUCAGCACUUUGGAGACAGUCUUUGAGCAGCCGUCUGCGUUCUUCCCUGGUAUCCGCCUCCCUGAAAUAAAUUCCUUUCUUGUUUCCCCACCA